AAAGUUCAGACCAACAUUUUUUUCUGCGUGCGUCGGUUCCAAAAACAUCAUAACUAUAUAUGUAUAAAGAGUCCAUGCCCAUCCCUCCAUAUUUAAGCCUCAAACAAAUCAAUAGUAUCCCAUAAUUCAUUCACAAAUUGAAGAGAAAAAAAUCCAUUGUCUACACUCAUUUAUUACACAAGCAACAAACAUCAUCUUCUUCGAACUUUCCAUCCCCCAAAAUCAGAGCCCAUGCCUAAAUUGCUGGGAGAAUUUCUGCAAGAGCAACAAGAGCCAUUCGCUCUAGAAGUUUACCUUCUUGAACGAGGCUUUGCGCGUUGCAGCCUCAAGAAGACACGGCGCCAAGCCAUCCCAAACUGCUCGGAAGUAGUCCGAGCAGUUUUCAGCAGAAUUCUGCUGCAUAACAACAGAAAGAAAAUCAAGAAUCCCAGAAAAAAUGAUGACAAAAAAUAUGAAGAUGAGUUCUCUUCCACAACUUUCUACAGUUCUUGCUCAGAUUUGGAAGAUGAGCUAGAGAUCAGUGGAAGAAGAUUUUGAUAAACAGCUCAGCCCAAUCUCAGUUCUUAAAGAAACAGAAUCCAAAGCCUCACCACUUCACCAGAGUAUGUAUAAUCUAAUUACAUUAUUAAAAAAAAUACAUGAACUUUCAAUUUUUUCUAUGAUAUCUGGUGCAAUUAUUUCAUCGUUUAACCUUUAUGUUAAAAAUCAAAGCUGACGUGACAACGGUGUGACUAUUUGAAGUACUUGAGUAUAUAUUGUAUAAAAACUAAGGGCUAAACGAUGUCGUUUUGUAUUUUAGAAACUCAACGCGACAUGUUUUUUUGUUGAAUUAAGUGCUAAGUGACGACAUCGUUUAGCGAUUAAAUCCUAUUUUGGAUUAUACACAGCGUGAUUUUGAAUAGUGACGGACACAGAAAACAAUAUUGGUAAAAAAUUUAUCACUAAUUUUAUUGUAUUUUUUGCUCACAAAUUAUAUUAUAUAUAUUAAUAAAUAGGUAAAACCUCAAAUAAAUCAUAUAAGAUGGUCAAAUUCUAUUUCUAGAAAAAUGUUUUUGGCGAUCAUUCUUUUUCCUUUUUCUCGUCCCUCUUCUUCAAUUUCCGACAAUUUGGUUUUCAGACCGCUGAAGAGAUUUUCGUCAAUUUCCAAAAAAUUAAGUGAAAUCGAGAGGAAACCGCAAUAAACAUAGAGUUCGUGUGCAAAACCAGAAUCAGACAAAAGUUAACAACUGAUCACAGCAGAACUCCCUCAUUCCAGCUUGUGUAGGGCAAUACAAAUUCAAGAAAACAAAAGGGGAAUCAUCAAAUUCAAUUUCUCAACGCAAAUCAAAGCAUAAAACUGCCCCAAAAUCUAAAGAAUGCAUGGAACAUUCUCAUGAUUAUCACUACAGCAUAAACAAGAGGGCACUGCAGCACUCGAAGAAGCUUCUAGUCGACUGCGUGAGAGAAGUGAUCGAGAACGAGAGGAGGCACGAUGGCGAAGGCGGAGGCGGGAAGCAACUGAAGAAGAUCUUGGGAGCUGAGGAGCUUUGGAAGGCUGUGUGUGAGAAUGUAUGGCAAUGGAGCCAAGAAUCAAUACAUGAAAACAACAUAUCUCACUUGGUGAAAUGUGAUUUCAUGGCUACUUUGGGAGAGUGGGGAUUUGAUUCUCAACAACGUAAAGAUGAGGUUUCCAUAGAGAUUGGUGAUGCUAUUUUGGAGGAUAUUAUUAAUGAGAUUGUUACUCCAUGCUAGUGAAUUGGUUAUUGUGUUGUUACCAACUUUUGUAGGUUAGUAGAUAUAGUAAGACAAAAAACUUGUACUCCGUCCCACAUAGUUUGUCCAAUUUUACCAUUUUUGUCUGUUUUGUCCCACUUAGAAUCUUACCAAAAAUAGACAUUAAAUACACUCCUCUAUCUCUUCAAUGUGGGGCCCUAUUCCACUACAACCUCAAUUUAAUACAAAGUCAAAUCAUUUCUUAAAACCCGUGCCGGCUCAAAUUGGGACAAACUUUGUGGGACAAAAGGAGUACUUAGUUAUAGUAUAGAUGAAAAUUGGCGUUAUACAAUUUAUAUUUAUUUUAAAUACAUCAUUUGUUAUAGAAUUA